GCCCGGCUAGCUCAGUCGGUAGAGCAUGAGACUCUUAAUCUCAGGGAGGUGGGAUCGCGCCCCACGUUGGGCG
rnacentral:tRNA from 1 species